rnacentral:rRNA from 1 species
AUUGAACGCUGGCGGCAUGCCUUACACAUGCAAGUCGAACGGUAACGGGCCUUCGGGCGCCGACGAGUGGCGAACGGGUGAGUAAUGCAUCGGAACGUACCUUUCAGUGGGGGAUAACGUAGCGAAAGUUACGCUAAUACCGCAUAUUCUGUGAGCAGGAAAGCAGGGGAUCGCAAGACCUUGCGCUGAUUGAGCGGCCGAUGUCAGAUUAGCUAGUUGGUGAGGUAAAGGCUCACCAAGGCGACGAUAUGUAGCGGGUCUGAGAGGAUGAUCCGCCACACUGGGACUGAGACACGGCCCAGACUCCUACGGGAGGCAGCAGUGGGGAAUUUUGGACAAUGGGCGAAAGCCUGAUCCAGCCAUGCCGCGUGAGUGAAGAAGGCCU